GCAAGUCGAGCGCCCCGCAAGGGGAGCGGCAGACGGGUGAGUAACGCGUGGGAACGUACCUUUUGCUACGGAAUAACUCAGGGAAACUUGUGCUAAUACCGUAUGUGCCCUUCGGGGGAAAGAUUUAUCGGCAAAGGAUCGGCCCGCGUUGGAUUAGCUAGUUGGUGAGGUAAAGGCUCACCAAGGCGACGAUCCAUAGCUGGUCUGAGAGGAUGAUCAGCCACACUGGGACUGAGACACGGCCCAAACUCCUACGGGAGG
rnacentral:rRNA from 1 species